rnacentral:rRNA from 1 species
AUUGAACGCUGGCGGCAGGCCUAACACAUGCAAGUCGAACGAGUGGCGGACGUGUGAGGAAUGUCUGGGAAACUGCCUGAGGGAUGGGUAUCACUACUGGAAACGGUAGCUAAUACCGCCCACCAACAGAUGUGCCCAGAUGGGAUUAGCUUGUUGGUGGGGUAACGGCUCACCAAGGCGACGAUCCUUAGCUGGUCUGAGAGGAUGACCAGCAACACUGGAACUGAGACACGGUCCAGACUCCUACGGGAGGCAGCAGUGGGGAAUAUUGCACAAUGGGGGCAAGCCUGAUGCAGCCAUGCCGCGUGUAAGAAGAAGGCCUUCGGGUUGUAAAGUACUUUCAGCGGGGAGGCGUUACCCGCAGAAGAAGCACCGGCUAACUCCGUGCCAGCAGCCGCGGUAAUAC